rnacentral:rRNA from 2 species
ACGGGUGAGUAAUGCAUCGGGAUCUACCUCAACGUGGGGGAUAACGUAGGGAAACUUACGCUAAUACCGCAUACGUCCUACGGGAGAAAGCAGGGGACCUUCGGGCCUUGCGCGGUGAGACGAACCGAUGUUCGAUUAGCUAGUUGGUAGGGUAAUGGCCUACCAAGGCGACGAUCGAUAGCUGGUCUGAGAGGAUGAUCAGCCACACUGGAACUGAGACACGGUCCAGACUCCUACGGGAGGCAGCAGUGGGGAAUAUUGGACAAUGGGCGCAAGCCUGAUCCAGCAAUGCCGCGUGUGUGAAGAAGGCCCUCGGGUUGUAAAGCACUUUUAUCAGGAACGAAAUACCACGGGUUAAUACCCUAUGGGGCUGACGGUACCUGAGGAAUAAGCACCGGCUAACUUCGUGCCAGCAGCCGCGGUAAUACGAAGGGUGCAAGCGUUAAUCGGAAUUACUGGGCGUAAAGGGUGCGUAGGCGGUUGUUUAAGUCUGUCGUGAAAUCCCCGGGCUCAACCUGGGAAUGGCGAUGGAUACUGGACAGCUAGAGUGUGUCAGAGGAUGGUGGAAUUCCCGGUGUA